UCUCUCAUUAAUUGUGCUGCCCGUUAUAUUUCCAAUGCUGGUGACACAACAGUGUUACAGUAUGAUGACAUUUGUAAGAUAGACUUUGGGACACAUGCAAGUGGUAGGAUCACGGACUAUGCCUUUACUGUCACUUUUAAUCCCAAAUAGAAUACAUUUUAUUACAAGCUGUAAAAGAUGCUACUAAUAUUGGAAUAAAGUAUGCUGGAAUUGGUGUGCAUCUAUGUGAUAUUGGCAAGGCCAUCCCAGAAGUUAUGGAAUCCUAGGAAGUUGAAAUAGAUAGGAAAACAUAUCAGAUAAAACCAAUCCAUAAUCUAAAUGGACAUUCAAUUGGGCGAUACAGAGACCAUGCUGAGAAAACAGUGCUUGCUGUGAAAGGGGCAGAAACAAGAAUGGAGGAAGAAGUGUGUGCAAUCGAAAGCUUUGGUAGUACAGGACUUGGUGUUCAUGAUGGCAUGGAAUGUUCACAUUACAUGAAAAAUUUUGAUGCUGGAAAUGGCCAAUGAAGCUUUCAAGAACAAAACAUUAAAUAUCAUCAACGAAAACUUUGGCACCCUUGCCUUCUGCUGCAGAUGGCUGGAUUGCUUGGGAGAAAGCAAAUGCUUGAUGGCUCAGAAGAAUCUGUAUGCCUUGGGCAUUAUAGAUGCCUACCUGCCAUUAUGUGACAUUAACGAAUCAUAUACAGCGCAGUUUGAACACGCCAUACGAUUGCAUUCAACAAGUAAAGAAGUUGUCAGCAGAGAAGAUGAUUAUUAAACUUUCUCCAAAGCCACUUCAACAUCUUUGUUUUCUAAGUUGUUUUAGAAUAUAUGAUACCAGAAUUAAUUUGCAAUAUGUUCUCUGUUUUAACAGUGGACCUAUGUAAUACUUUUAUCCAUGUUUAAAAAAGAAGGAAUUUGAUCAAAGGCAAACUGUAUAAUGUAAUUAGCCAAGGAAAAAGCUUUCAGGACUUUCAAAUGUUAACUGUCCCCAACCCUUGCCCUGUUUGGAAAAUGCUAUAAAGCUGAAAUUAGUUAGGAAUGACUUAUACAUUUUGUUUUGAACAUCUAACAGUUGCUUUUCAGAUAUUUAUAUUGCCAUAUUCUUACCUGAAUGCUUUGAAUGACUGCAUUCAAUCUGUAUCUAUACCCUCUGGUAUUGCUUCUUAACCUUCCUGGAAUCCAUUUUCUAAAAAAUAAAGACAUUUUCAGAUCUGAGA